AGGGGAAUGCUGCGACCAAGACGGGGGUGUCCGGAUUUUGGAGUGGGGGGGACACACGCAGGGCAGCCCCUGGCCCGCGAUCCCGUAGAUCCCUCCUGGAUCCAGCGCUUGGGGAGGCGUCUCCCUGCCUUUGGACGGCGGCUCUGCCCUGUGGACUCCUCUGCCAAACGAAAUUGCACCAUCUAACUCCAGUGGGUGGGGACCUGGGUGCUUCCUUAAGCAGGCAGGAGAAGCGGCGAGCGGAGGGAAGGGAAAGGAGGCAAACCGCCGCGAUCCCGUGUCGACGCGAUCCCCCCCCCCGCGUUCAAGCCCCGCUGGCUCCGCUGCAGCCCUGCGCUCCGGGAAGUGUCAUCUGCUCCCACGUGGGCGAAAACUUUCGAGGGAUACUUUCGCUUCCAACUUGGACACUCGGCUAAGUGACAUCGGGGAGGGGAGGGGGAGAAAGCGCCGCUCUGCACCGGAUCCUCUCCCCACACCCUUCCCUUUCUGGAUGGGAAUGCCGCCCCCUCCCACAGUUGACACGGAUUCUACCCCUCCACCCCCCAUUCCUCCCCCCCCCCAGCAUGGAGGAUCUCGCAAGACCGUAUGUGGACACUGUUUUUUUUUUUCUUUCCUUAGGGGUGGGCCCCCUCCCUCUUUCUCUCUCUUUGGUCCCCCCACCCCACCCCGUGCAUUUUUUGUUCCCUCCACUUCAAGACGAUCUGGUAAGGCGCGAGCGAUUCCACCCCAGAGCCGGCUCUUUCCAUUGACACAAGGGCUCUAUUUCUGUGAAGCACUUCUUGAUAAACGAUCCAGGACCUGAUGCCAACUAUUACAAGUCACCUACCCACAAUGGAGACCAUGCUACACAUGUGCUGCUACACUCAUGUUACACUUUAAGUGUCCUUCCAUGAAAGAAUGCAGUUUUCAAGUCCUUCAUUUCUUAGUUCCAACGAGCACAUGGAUGCAACAAUAUUAACUGAGCCCUUCCUGGUUCCUGAUUUAACCUUCUAACUACGGCUGAACACAUGCGUAAACCAAAGGAUGCAGUCAAAUAUGGAUGUGAUUUCAUCCCUUGGGAACAACCAAUAAUACAGUUUGAUGGCUUUAGGGGGGCACUCACCUUUAUUUCAAUAAUGGCUACUUCUGAGUAAUGAAAAAUAGCCCAACCUAUCACCCCCACCCCUGCACAUUGCCAAGUUUUGUCCUGUCCUAGAAAGAGGAUUUUAAAAAGCAGAAAUCUGGAGAGGCAGCAUAGAAUAUGGUCUAAAUAAAUAAAUAAUCAAACAGAAUAUGAACAAAGAAGAGCACCAGAAAUGAAGCUGUCCGCUACGCAGCACAGAGUAAAAUUCUACAAAAUCAAGGGUUUGGGGAAAUAAAAUGCCCACUGCAGAGCUUUUUGCAAUCUUUUCCUGGGUCUUCUGGGGCAGUGAUUCCCAACCUUUACAGGUAACCCACCAGUCCAAAUGUACUUAGCAUGGUGGUUCCUAAUAAAGGCCCCUUCUGCACAUGCAGAAUAAUGCACUUUCAAUCCACUUUCAACGCACUUUGUAGUUGGAUUUUACUGUGUGAAAUAGCAAAAUCCACUUGCAAACAAUUGUGAAAGUUGACUGAAAGUGUAUUAUUCUGCAUGUGCAGAAGGGGCCGUAGGAUGCACAAAUCAAUGCAAUAGCAAAAACCCAAGAUCCAUUAUCACAGGCUUUGUGGGGAGGGCAUUCCAAAGACAGGGUGCCACCACAGAGAGGACCCUAUACUGCAUCAGCACUCUAAAGACCAGGCAUCCAGAACAGGGACUCCGAAGUUAUUAAUUAAGGGAGAAGGUUCAUAUGAAAUCCCCUCCUAACCGUGACAAGAAAUUAUCUCCGGCAUUUGCCGAGCGCCAAAUGGGUUGGAAUAACAGCGAGCCAAAAAUAGCUGUCCUUUUUAUUUUCAAUAAACGUUAUUUAUUUA